rnacentral:lncRNA from 1 species
CCUCUCAGCAAAGAGGUCUCCAAAAACCACAUCAAUUUGUAAUAAUUCAUGUUCCACUGAAAGCAGUUCCUCACACAUCAGUAGGCACAAGGAUGCACAUGACGUAAUCUAUCACCAAGCUUGUUUCAUCUAAGGUCACACCUCAAGGAACUAGAGAAACAAAAACAAGCCAAACGCAAACCCAGCAGAAGAAAGGAAAUAACCAAGAUUGGAGCAGAAUUAAAUAAAUUGAAAACAAAAGAAAUGCAAAGAUAAAUGAAACCAAAAGCUGGUUC